GAUAAGAACAAAUUCCCUACUACUGCUAGGUUCAAAAUCCCAACUCACAGAAGAGGGGGAGCUGCAGUUCCUUCCAAGCUUAGUUUAGAAUCCAGUUUUAAUGCAGUCAGAACUUUAUGUGACAAGGGAAGAAUGUCCCAGUAGCUCUCCUGCUGCCUGUCUACCCAUGAGUCAGGACAGUGCACUCCAGACAACUGCCAGAGGCCAAAGGGCACCUCGGCCUUCACCACAGUUUUGCUCAAAAUACACAAUGUGUGUGUGCACCAUGUGCAGACCUGAUGCCCUUGGAAGUCAGAAGAAGGAAUUGGAUUCCCUGCAACUUGAGUUACAGAAGAAUUCCUUGGAGAGUGGACGUCACGACCAAACGGAAGAACAAAAGAACAAUUCUCAGAAGCACAGCAAAAAUGAAACCAAAUAAAAAACCCAUAAAAAUCCCUAUGGGGCAGAGGAAAUACCAGCCUGGUGUCUUUUGUGCCUUAUGCUGGGUCAUAAAGGGCAGCUUCGCCAAGAGGUGGUGAUGAUGUGGCAAUGUUUGGACUUGAGAGAGAAUGUUCUGGAAAACAAUAAAAGGCAGCACCCAUGUA